rnacentral:rRNA from 1 species
UACGGAGGGUGCAAGCGUUGUCCGGAAUCACUGGGCGUAAAGGGCGCGUAGGUGGCGCGGGCAGUCAACGGUGAAAGUUCGGGGCUCAACCCUGAAUCGGCCGUCGAUACUCCCGGGCUUGAGCACUGUAGAGGCAGAUGGAAUUCCGGGUGGUAGCGGUGGAAUGCGUAGAUAUCGUGAGGAACACCAGAGGCGAAGGCGGUUGACCUGGACAGUUACGUGACGCUCAGGCACGAAAGCG